CUUCCAGUAGCACCUUAGAGACCAACUAAAUUUGUUAUUGGUAUGAGCUUUUGUGUGCAUGCACACUUCUUCUCAUACCAAUAACAAACUUAGUUGGUCUCUAAGGUGCUACUGGAAG